AAAAAAAGCAUUAAACGGAUACCUUGACAAAAGAUUCUAUUGGAUGUUGUACAACAAAAAUUUUAGCUGAGCUGUAAUGCUGGGACGCUGAAAUGUCCAAUAAAAGAAAUUUUUCUCUUGGAAGUUUUCAGAAAAGUGAAUUGAAACAUCUUAGUAACUUUUUAAGAAAUCAAACGAGAUACUGAAAGUAGUGGCGAACGAACUCAGUACAGGCAAAAAACAUAGAUAAAACACCAAUUGAACCUCGAGACCAGAGAAGGUUUAAGUCCUGUAGAUCGGCAAAAACUGUGUUUUUAAGUAAAAGAGGUUGUACUCUUUGAACAAUGGGGGACCACCCUCAAAGCCUAAAUUUUGGUCUUUUGAUCGAUAGUGAACGAGUACUGUGAAGGAAAGGACAUACAUCCUAGGAUGUUUUGAAAUUUAAUGCUAGCAAUCGGUUGGAGCUUUAUAAAGUGACAGCGUACCUUUUGCAUAAUGGGUCAGCGAGUUUUUAAAAAAGGCAAGCUUUUAACGAGGCGAAGAAAAUACGAAUUUUAAAAAAUAACCAGUCUUUUUUAAAAGACCCGAAACUGAGUGAUCUAACCUUGAACAGGCUGAAGACAGAGUGGUAACAUUCGUUGGAGGGCCGAACCCGUGUCUGUGGCAACAUACUGGGAUGAUUUGAGGUUAGGAGUGAAAGGCUAAUCAAACUCAGAGAUAGCUGGUUUUCUGCGAAAUCUAUUUAAGUAGAGCGAUCAAGUAAAACUUUUUGGGGUAGAGCACUUUUUAGAUGAUGGGGCAAUUUCGCUUACUGAUUUUAAGAAAACUCCGAAUACAAAAAGCUCUGAACUUGAUCAGACAGACCAUGGGUGCUAAGGUCCAUGGUCAAGAGGGAAACAGCCCAGAUUGAUCGCUAAGGUCCCAAAGAAAUCUUUCAGUUUAAGGAAGUAAGAUUACGAAGACAACUAGUAGGUCGGCUUGGAAGCAGCCAUCCUUGAAAGAAAUCGUAACAGAUCACUGGUCGAGUAAUUUUGCACCGAAAAUUUAUGGGCAUUAAAAGAUUCGCCGAAGCGGCAAACUUUUUUAAGUGGUAGCAGAACGUUCUGUGAAAUCAAUGAAGAAAAUUUGAGAAAAUUUUUCGAGAAAUCAGAAGUGAAAAUGCUGACAUGAGUAACAAAAAACAAUGUACAGAAUCAUUGUGGCUGUAAAUCCAAGGGUUUUGACGGAAGGAUUAUCCGCGUCAUGCCAUCUUUCGAUGGACAUAUUAGACGGUCCCUAAGAACGCUGAUGACAAUCAGGUUUGAUGGGUUAAACGUUUCGUUUCUUUAAAAAAAUGACAGAUUCUUAAGAUUAUUUUUAGUUUAUAGAGGAAACUAAAGGUGGUGGACGAAUUUCAGGAAAAAGUUUUUUUACUGCACAAACCGUACCUUAAACCAACACAGGUGGAUGGGUGGAAUACACUAAAGCCAAUGAGAGAAUGAUGUUGAAGGAACUCGGCAAAAUGAUUCCGUAACUUCGGAAGAAGGAAUAACCUUGCGAGGGCAACCUUGCAAGGUUGGCACAGAAUUGGGGGUAGCGACUGUUUAAUAAAAACACAGGUCUCUGCAAAUUUGUAAAAAGAUGUAUAGGGACUGACACCUGCCCGGUGCUGUAAGGUUAAACUAUGCUGUUUUGGCAGUGUACAUAAGCCUCAGUAAACGGCGGCUGUAACUCUGACGGUCCAAAGGUAGCGAAAUUCCUUGUCGGGUAAGUUCCGACCUGCACGAAUGGCGUAACGACUUCCCCGCUGUCUCCAACAUCGACUCAGCGAAAUUGAAUUACCUGUCAAGAUGCAGGUUUCCCGCGGUUAGACGGAAAGACCCCGUGCACCUUUACUACAGCUUCGCACUGGCAUCAGGAUUGUGAUGUGCAGGAUAGGUGGUAGGCAUCGAAGCCGGGACGCAAGUCCCGGUGGAGCCGCCCUUGAGAUACCACCCUUCGCACUCUUGAUGUCUAACCGCGGUCCGUUAUCCGGAUCCGGGACCCUGCGUGGCGGGUAGUUUGACUGGGGCGGUCGCCUCCUAAAGAGUAACGGAGGCGCGCGAAGGUUGGCUCAGAGCGGUCGGAAAUCGCUCGUUGAGUGCAAUGGCAGAAGCCAGCCUGACUGCGAGACUGACAAGUCGAGCAGAGACGAAAGUCGGCCAUAGUGAUCCGGUGGUCCCGCGUGGGUGGGCCAUCGCUCAACGGAUAAAAGGUACGCCGGGG
rnacentral:rRNA from 1 species